CUCCUCCGCUACGGAUGGCUGAUGGGGGAUCGAUUGGGUGCGGCCUGUCCUUACCCACAAUCCACCGCGCGGCUCGAAGAAUUGGCGGCAAGGAUUACAGUCACUCUCAAAUUGGUCCUUGUGCCAGUAAAAGACAAUGCCAAGUAACCCCAAAUAGGAAGACUCCCCUAUCCUCCAACAAAAGUAAGGGUUCAAGAGAAAUAAAUGCUUGGUGACUAUGUUGCAACCCUCCACUGCUUGUUUCCAUCAAGUAAAGACGGAGGCUGCUGACUUGGACCUAGAAUGCGAAUCAACGAGCCUCAUUCUAAGAUGUCUCGUCAGGAAAAAAUGAAGUGGAAUGGGUUCACUUCCUGUCCCCUCCCAUGGUGGUCUUCAAAUGGGGCCCCUAUCAAAAGCCCCCCCAUGCACACUCCCUGUGGAUGAUCCCCCCCCUCACGCUCCCCCUUCAGCAGCGGCUGGUAAUUGCUACAGUGAGAUGUGGAUCAGUGGAGCUGCCCUAAUCAAUAAAGUCUUCAUCAGCUAUUUCCCCUGAUGAUUCUCCCUCAUUUCUGCCUUAAUUGUUCUUUUUCAUCCAACAAGCCCGGCACCGUUAGUGUGUGUGUUGGUUUGUAUGUGUGUGUGUGCGAAUGUGCAUCUCGACGGACCAACAGCGAACGAUGGCCAAGCUGAAGGAACCCGACGAGAACUCUGCGGGAACAAAGUUUCACCUUCCCGGGGAGAAGUUUGAUAACCGAAACCAGAACCAUACAGAAAUCAGAACCUGACUUGACUCAUUUCCAUCAACACAGCACUUAUUGCCCUUCUGUGCCAGUAAAACGGUAUGGGAGCGCCUCUGUCCCCGGGGGGAGGGGUCACCGUCUUGCACCGAACCAUCGCCGCUCAUGUGCAGAAGUCCAAUCAAGCAGUCAGAAGAGAGAUGUCUGGAUGAAAGCUACUUUGCAGUGUGCUUCAGUUGGACAGCUUCAGUUGGACUCACACUCAUCAAAAAGUCAAGUGGCGGUCUACUGGGAAACGAAGAAAACAUGCUUGGUCAGGACAUCUGGAGUGGCUCCAGUCAAGUUACGGUCCAUUUGACACAAACAGCGUCCUCACCUCGCCUCCUGGAACCUGAGCAUCAAUCGGAGGAUGAUGUUGGGUGGCAGCCACGGCGUUGGGGGUCAUUUCAGUCCAUUCGAACAUGAACAGGCAAGCGGGUCAAAGGUAUCGGAGACAGCUGUCCGCCUCCAUCUUCAUCAUGGCCGCCGUGCCCGUGAGUAAUCUCUGAUUUCACUCUGAUUACAUCUCCAGAGGCCUGACUCAGCCAUCUUGGCUUUGGUCGCGCAUACGUGGUCGCUGAUCGUAAAUACAAUAUGUGCAUACGCUACAUCACUGUAGUUCACGCUUUCAUUUGCGUUCUGUUCAGUUUUGGCGUGUUUGUAACAGAUCUCGUCCCCUGGUGAAAACGCACAAAACUUUAUUUGUUCAUACUCUGAAUUGGUGUCCUAAUUUGGGAUCCUGGAAGGUUUCGCUCAAGUUAUCUAAUCACUGAACCCUUCCCAACUUCAGACAGUCGACUGUGAAUGGAUAUUUCCUUUUCGUGCACAGUUAUUGUCUUGAGCGUACGACUUGAGUUUCCAGUAUGGGGGGGGGUCAGGCAACGCUAGUCGACCCAGAUCUAACCAAUGUGAUGGAUGGACUCGAACCAGAAACAACACGUCUAUUUGAGUCGGGCAUUGUAUGUCACUGGGUUCCAGUGUAUGUGUGUGUGUGUUUGUUUCCUCUCAACACGUGUGCGCUACUAAAAAAACUCAGUUUCAUAACACACACACACACACACACACACACACACUGGGCUGCUGUCGACUGGGAAAUGUUUGGAAGGCAUGGCAACCCAUUUCCAAAAUGGAAUAAAAGCUUGGCAGCAGAUGGACUCGUCUGUGGGCCUGUGGCACUCCUUUUUCCUGUAAUUGGAGAGCAUUUUGUGGGCCUGGCAGGAGCGCUAGUGUCAGGGCCCUGCGCAAAAAAAAAAAAAAAAAAAAAAAAAACGAACAUAAACACUGGAUUUGAAUGAGUAGCACAGCACAUCAGCAGCAAACAUGCUCGCCAUCUGCUCCCGAUGAAGCUGAUUUACGACGCCCGGUUUUCGAUCUGACGAGGAAUAUCUCGAGCACGUUAAUGACACGUAGCGUUCGGGUGAAGUUUAUCAACUGCCAUAAACAUCAACACUUCCCCUAACUGACAACCUUUGUCAGAAGGGGCUCAUUUGGAGCUUACGGCAUGCGGACGAUGUUAAUUCAUGGAAAUUAAGAAUGUGCUGGACCGCGUCUGCCUGACUCACAGUUCGGAGAAGCAAUUGAUUAAUUACAAUUACAAACUGCUCUCACAAGCACAAUGAAUUCAUGUGUUGCCCUUAACGGCAUUGAAUACAAUUUGUUUCUUGACAAAUCGAAUCGUGAGUUUUUGUUGCUACCAAACUAUGUUAAA